rnacentral:rRNA from 1 species
AUACGUAGGGGGCGAGCGUUGUCCGGAAUGAUUGGGCGUAUAGGGCGCGUAGGCGGCGCGGUAAGUCUGGAGUGAAAGUCCUGCUUUCAAGGUGGGAAUUGCCUUGGAUACUGCCGCGCUUGAGUGCAGGAGAGGUUAUCGGAAUUCCCGGUGUAGCGGUGAAAUGCGUAGAGAUCGGGAGGAACACCAGUGGCGAAGGCGGGUAACUGGACUGCAACUGACGCUGAGGCGCGAAAGUGUGGGGAGCAAACAGGAUUAGAUACCCUGGUAGUCCACACUGUAAACGAUGAAUGCUUGGUGUAAGAGGUACCGACCCCUUUUGUGCCGGAGUCAACACAAUAAGCAUUCCGCCUGGGGAGUACGGCCGCAAGGUUGAAACUCAAAGGAAUUGACGGGG